rnacentral:rRNA from 1 species
GAUGAACGCUGGCGGCGUGCCUAAUACAUGCAAGUCGAGCGAACGGAUGAGAAGCUUGCUUCUCUGAUGUUAGCGGCGGACGGGUGAGUAACACGUGGAUAACCUACCUAUAAGACUGGGAUAACUUCGGGAAACCGGAGCUAAUACCGGAUAAUAUUUUGAACCGCAUGGUUCAAAAGUGAAAGACGGUCUUGCUGUCACUAAUAGAUGGAUCCGCGCUGCAUUAGCUAGUUGGUAAGGUAACGGCUUACCAAGGCAACGAUGCAUAGCCGACCUGAGAGGGUGAUCGGCCACACUGGAACUGAGACACGGUCCAGACUCCUACGGGAGGCAGCAGUAGGGAAUCUUCCGCAGUGGGCGAAAGCCUGACGGAGCAACGCCGCGUGAGUGAUGAAGGUCUUCGGAUCGUAAAACUCUGUUAUUAGGGAAGAACAUAUGUGUAAGUAACUGUGCACAUCUUGACGGUACCUAAUCAGAAAGCCACGGCUAACUACGUG